UACGUAGGGUGCAAGCGUUGCCCGGAUUUAUUGGGCGUAAAGGGCGCGUAGGCGGCUCGGCACGUCCGUUGUGAAAUCGCCCGGCUCAACUGGGCGGGGUCAGCGGAUACGGCCGAGCUUGAGCAAGCUAGGGGGCAAUGGAAUUCCUGGUGUAGCGGUGGAAUGCGCAGAUAUCAGGAGGAACACCGGUGGCGAAGGCGGGUCUCUGGGCCGUAACUGACGCUGAGACACGAAAGCGUGGGUAGCAAACAGG
rnacentral:rRNA from 1 species